rnacentral:rRNA from 1 species
AUGCUUCAGCUGGCUCAACUUGGUCCUUUUGACGAAAUGAACAAGUGGUUCCACUGUACUGCUGUUGUUGACAGAAUUAUGCCUGAUAAGCGUUGGUGGUUUGCUUCGUGUGGCGCAUGCCGCAAAUCCGCUAGGUUCCUCGGUGACCGGUGCCAAUGCUCAGACAUUAGCUGCACUUCUGGUGGUGCAGACCUAACAUACUGUGUUGGUGUCAUAGCGACCGAUGGCACGACGGAGGCUGAGUUUGUCCUCUUUGACAAAGUUGCGACAGGGGCCAGGGAAAUCUCUUGUGGCCUUGCUGUGGCAGAGAUACCCUGGCCAAGCUACGCUUGA